AGAAAACAGAAUAGAUACUGUGGCCAGUUAACAGCCUGGGACUUAGGAAUCGUGGGUCCUGGGACCACCUUUGCCACGAAGUACCUGUGUGACCUUGGUCAAGUCACUCGGUUUGUUCUUUCAUUCAACAGAUAGGUAUCGGGCUUCUGUGAUGUGCCAGGCACAGGGGGCAUAUUAACAAUAACAAAAAAAUAGAUGUUUCCUGCCUUUAUGAAUCUUAAUGACAUUUGAUCAAAGAAACCUACAAAUAUAUGUAUAAUUUUACUGGCUGUGGCUAGGAACACAAAAAAUAAACCACUGCUCAUUUUUAAAAAGAAUUUCUCAUUAAGAUCCCCAAUUUCUUGCCCCAGCCUUCCCACACACAGUAUAAUUAUUUGUUUUAGGCCCACUGAGAAAACACAAUAGCAAAAGCUACUAUGAAUCCAAUACCUACGUAAAAUAAAUGAACAUUGUUAUCAGCAUGAUGCAGCUAUAUAAUUAGAAAAAUAGUAGCACAACAUCAUGUAAGGUGUAUUUACUUAGUCAAAAAAAUUGCUACUACAUAUGGGUUUGUUUACCUCCCACAGGGCCUCUGGGAUCCGGGGUGCAGAGGUGAGAAACCUCCCUAAGGACCACAUCGAUAACAUUAAAUACACGGCCCUUGGGUAGCAAUGGCCCUUUUCUUCCGUGAGAGACAUCACUGUCGGUGACAGCAUUUUCACCCCAGUCAUCUUAGAUUCAGCCUCAGAAUC